rnacentral:tRNA from 2 species
GCCCUCCUGGCGGAACUGGCAGACGCGCAAGCUUCAGGAGCUUGUGGGAGUAAUCCCGUAGAGGUUCAAAUCCUCUGGAGGGCACCA